rnacentral:lncRNA from 1 species
AAGAAAAAGAAAUAGGAGAAUGCCAAAAUAGCCUAUUGAACAUCAAGAAACACGCAACAGAUCUUCAAAUGUUUCUCUCAAUCAAGCAAAUAGAAGAGGACGUGUAUAGCAAAGAAAAAAAAUUGCAGACUCUUGUAGAAGGCAAGGAACAGCAUACUCUUUCAUAUCAGAUCAACACCUCAAUCCAGAAUAUCAUAUCCGAUAUCAAAAGUUUUGGGGAAGUGCGUAUUGAAUCUAAUCCAUGCGACAUAGUUCUGAUCAAGAAGAAGGCCAGACAAGCCCAAUUGAUGAUUCCAAUCGUUCCAACAAAAUCUAUAGAAAAUAUAAAGCCAACGAUACACAAGACCAUCGACACUCAAGGAAAUAGAAUUUACGGAUGUUGCAUACUUCCAGAUGAUAGAUUGGUAUUUACUUACUACUUGGCCAAACAAUUGAAAGUUUUCAGUGAUAAAGGAUCAAAAGACUUUGAGGUCAAGAUGCCGUGUCACCCGAUUGAUAUAAUAUACAUUAGUAAGAGAAGACAAUACAUUGGCUGUAUCAUCUGAUAGACCACGUACCAUUACCAUAAUAAACCUGGAGACAAAACAGAUGAUGAAAUCAAUUGCAAUGGAUUCUGACAUUUAUGGCAUAGCCUUGAAAGGUAAUCAAUUGAUUUAUUCAGGGAGUGACAAAGGUAUACGAAUGAUCGAUUUAAACGAUGAGUCUAUAAGUGACUUAGUCCGAGAAGCAAUGACCAGUUGUUACUACACUGCAACUUUUAGGGACAAUAUAUAUCAUACAAACUUUCAAAAAGACACUGUGACAUGUUAUAACCUAUAAGGUAAACUACAAUGGGCAUGCCAUAACGAAAGCGUUCUGAAGGCUCCUCAUGGUAUUGAUGUAGAUAAUGAUGGUAAUGUAUUCGUGGUUGGGCACAGAUCGAACAACGUUGUAGUUAUCUCCUCUGAUGGAAAAAGACAUAGAGAAAUAUUGACCGUAAGUGAUGGUCUUGAUAAUCCUAUGUCACUUCAUUAUAGUGGAACAACGAAUCAGUUGCUAGUCGCGAACUUCAACAAUAGCAAAGCUUUUUUGUUAAAUUGUACUUGAAGAAAAAAUAACAGUGUGAAGUGCUGUCUCUUUGGAUCCUUAUAUGAAAUAAUUAUAGACAAUAGACAAUAUCUAUUUGCACAAUUUUAUUUACAAUAAGUGGUCACGGUAAUGCAGUUAAACAUUACGAAUUCCACAAUGAACUGUAUGCAGCAACUAACCAUAGUUUCUUAUUAAACUAUGGUGAUGUGUAAAGUAAAGUAGAUUAUAAAAAACCUUAUCACGAUUUAAGCGAUUUAUUGUGUUGCUUGGAUAGACAUUCAAUAAAAAAAUUCGAAAUAAAUAAUGGAUUAAAAUAACUAGAUUUUUAAAAUCUUUUUUCGCUCACCUGGUCCGAAGGGCCAUGUGAG